AAUGAGACGUGUCGCUCUAAAGAAAGGCUCGGGAACAUUGGUGGCAAAAAAGAAAAGGGGGAAAAGAGAAAUCUACUUUUUGCGCCUGUUUCAAUCGAGAUUGCCGUCACAUUGCGAGGGGCCUGUUGCAUCACAUAUCCACCGUUACGAAAGGACGAAACGGACGAGAUCGAAUUCUUGCAAAACCAGGACGAGAGAAAAGCGGAAGGUGAAAGGUCCAGAAAAUUUGGUCGCGAGGGAUCCUUCUUUCCGUCCUUAUAAAAUUUCCCCCCUCACGAGAAGGAGCAGAGGAGAGAUUUGGCUUGAAAGAGAAACCCGAGAAGCGCGCUAAUACGGAUCUCGUGCUAAGGAACGUGGCUGUAAAGAGAAGCGUGGUGGGGAAAGAUCCUCCAACGAUGCACCUGUGACGCUACGCGGCUAACUUCGCGACGUACGACAUCACGCGGUGACGAAUACCACGUGGAAUUUUCCUCGUAACGGCAAAAAACGCCUGUGAUCUAUGAUCCUUUAUAACAUUGAUUUUAGCUUGAUCGAAAAAUAAUACAAUCUAUUAUAAUCGUUUUAAAACAUUACUUGUAUGGUAAUUUUUUUCUUUGUGUAUUGAGAAAUGGGAAGAGACACUUAUAAUUUUUCAAUGUUUUGAUUAUAAUGACAAUUUAACUUUAACAUUGUAUUUAAUUUUUA